CCCGCACAAGCGGUGGAGCAUGUGGUUUAAUUCGAUGCAACGCGAAGAACCUUACCUGGGCUUGACAUCCCGGGAAUCCCUUGGGAAACAAGGGAGUGCCCUUCGGGGAACCUGGAGACAGGUGCUGCAUGGCUGUCGUCAGCUCGUGUCGUGAGAUGUAGGGUUAAGUCCCGCAACGAGCGCAACCCUUGUCUUUAAUUGCCAUCAUUGAGUUGGGCACUUUAAAGAGACUGCCGGUGUUAAACCGGAGGAAGGUGGGGAUGACGUCAAGUCCUCAUGGCCUUUAUGCCCAGGGCUACACACGUGUUACAAUGGCCAGUACAAAGGGCAGCUACCGGGUGACCGGAUGCUAAUCUCUAAAGCUGGUCUCAGUUCGGAUCGAAGUCUGCAACCCGACCCCAUGAAGUCGGAGUCGCUAGUAAUCGCAGAUCAGCAACGCUGCGGUGAAUACGUUCCCGGGCCUU
rnacentral:rRNA from 1 species